GCUGGAACUGGAUGUCAUCUGUAAUUCGAGAUAUCAAAGAGAACCUACAAAAAAAGUCCGUACUCUUUGGAAGUUUUCCGGUGAGAAUCCCUUUGAUAUUAAAGUUAUCCUCCUUGAAGAUCCCCUUCACACCUCUUUUAUAAAAAGGUAGUGCAGUAGGUCACUAGCCAGAAUCUGUUGAUGCUCUAGGCCCUUAGGCCAUGCUUUAAUAGUUUAUUGGAGAGG
rnacentral:lncRNA from 1 species